CCUACGGGGGGCAGCAGUGGGGAAUAUUGGACAAUGGGCGAAAGCCUGAUCCAGCCAUGCCGCGUGUGUGAAGAAGGCCUUCGGGUUGUAAAGCACUUUCAGUGGGGAAGAAAGCCUUGGGGCUAAUACCCUCGAGGAAGGACAUCACCCACAGAAGAAGCACCGGCUAACUCCGUGCCAGCAGCCGCGGUAAUACGGAGGGUGCGAGCGUUAAUCGGAAUUACUGGGCGUAAAGCGCGCGUAGGCGGUCUGAUAAGCCGGUUGUGAAAGCCCCGGGCUCAACCUGGGAACGGCAUCCGGAACUGUCAGGCUAGAGUGCAGGAGAGGAAGGUAGAAUUCCUGGUGUAGCGGUGAAAUGCGUAGAGAUCGGGAGGAAUACCAGUGGCGAAGGCGGCCUUCUGGACUGACACUGACGCUGAGGUGCGAAAGCGUGGGUAGCAAACAGGACUAGAUACCCGAGUAGUC
rnacentral:rRNA from 1 species